rnacentral:rRNA from 1 species
UACGGAAGGGGCAAGCGUUGUUCGGAAUCAUUGGGCGUAAAGGGCGCGUAGGUGGCCCUGUGUGUCUACCGUGAAAGCGUACGGCUCAACCGUAUUUUGUCGGUAAAAACUGCAGGACUUGAGGCUGGGAGGGGCUGGUGGAAUUCCCUGUGUAGCGGUGAAAUGCGUAGAGAUGGGGGAGAACACUCGUGGCGAAGGCGGCCAGCUAGACCAGUUCUGACACUGAGGCGCGACAGCGUGGGGAGCAAACAGG